rnacentral:lncRNA from 10 species
CACAAUGAUGGGCAUGAAGCAAACAUUACCUUCAGAAGAUUUGGAUUCAGUGGCAUCUAAUGUGCAUGAAGGGCCAGUGGAGAACUUUAAAGUCUUUUAUUUCCAUAAUGACAAUCACAGCAAGGUGAAAGUGGGCAGCCGAUCUGGGGGAGAAUAUUUAGCCUCAGGGAUUUAUAACCUGUGCUAUGGUUUGAAUGUUUGUCCCUUCUAAAACUCAUGUUAAAGUUUAAUUGCCGUUGUAACAGUAUUAAGAUAUGGGACCUUUAAGAGGUGAUGAGGCUAUGAGGGCUCCACUUUGAUGGGUGGGAUUAAUGCUGUAUGAAAAAAGCUAGGCCCCCCCUUGCCUCUGUGGCCUGACUUCUGCCGUCUGAUGAUGCACCAAGAAGGUCCUUGCCAGAUGCUGGCACCAUGAUAUUGGACUUCUCAGACUCUAGAAUUGUUAGACAAUGCAUUUCUGUUUAUAAAUUGCCCAUUCUCAGGUAUUCUGUUACAGGAACACAAAACGUACUAAAACAGAUGUUAGUUGGACCAUCAGCUUCAUAGACUAUUUAAAGACUAGGCAAAGAUGUAUACUCAUUAGCUAAGCAAGGGAGGGUAAAUCUUGGUUAGACCAGAGAUGAGAUUCUUCCUAUGGUGUGCUGGUAUUUUUUCCUGGGUCCUUAUGACAUCCAGGCCUCUACCCUCACAUAGGUGUUGUAAUUCAGAACACAAACCUAAUAAUGUUUCUCAAAAAUGUUAGCGGCCUUUGGAUUCUUCUUUUCAAAGAAUAGUUCUAGAAUAUUUCUCCAUGAUAGAGUAUUUUGAAGGAGAGAGCGGUCUAAUUUGAUGAAUGAAUCCAUCAGUUGGAAGGGCUUUGGCCUUAGUGUCAAGAAAUCUGGGUUCUAGUCUUGAAGUGUUCACCAACAGUAAGUGUGAUUUUUAGCAAUUCCCUUGAACUUCAGAAGUUUUACUGAGAUAUUUUCUCCAAUGUCCAAAGAUUUUUGCAGCUCACUGACUAUGAUUUAGAAGAUUUUGUAGUGGUGAAAUGUCUUCCUAGAUAAUAACUAUGUAUGUUCAUUAAACAUUGCUAUACAUAAUAGGGUAUAUUGCAGCAAAUAUCUAGAACUGUAGCGUACGGCAUUCAGGAACACCAAAGAAAUGAAUUAACUAAAAAGCACA